rnacentral:rRNA from 1 species
GACAGAGGUGCCAAGCGUUAGGCGGAAUCACUGGGCUUAAAGCGUGUGUAGGCGGAUUCCUAAGUACCUUGUGAAAUCCCACGGCUCAACCGUGGAACUGCUCGGUAUACUGGGUAUCUUGAGCCACUUAGGGGCGACCGGAACAAAUGGUGGAGCGGUGAAAUGCGCAGAUAUCAUUUGGAACACCAAUGGUGAAAACAGGUCGCUGGGAGUGUGCUGACGCUGAGACACGAAAGCCAGGGGAGCAAACGGG